AUCACAUGGUUCAAAAGGGAAAGGAGCAAUCCGCUGAUAGAUGGGCUUGCGUCUGAUUAGCUAGUUGGUGGGGUAACGGCCUACCAAGGCGACGAUCAGUAGCCGAGCUGGGAGGUUGAACGGCCACAUUGGGACUGAGAUACGGCCCAGACUCCUACGGGAGGCAGCAGUCGGGAAUAUUGCGCAAUGGAGGAAACUCUGACGCAGCGACGCCGCGUGCAGGAAGAAGGUUUUCGGAUUGUAAACUGCUUUAGACAGGGAAGAACAAAGACAGUACCUGUAGAAUAAGCUCCGGCUAACUACGUGCCAGCAGCCGCGGUAAUACGUAGGGAGCGAGCGUUAUCCGGAUUUAUUGGGUGUAAAGGGUGCGUAGACGGGAAGUCAAGUUAGUUGUGAAAUCCCUCGGCUUAACUGAGGAACUGCAACUAAAACUGAUUUUCUUGAGUACUGGAGAGGAAAGUGGAAUUCCUAGUGUAGCGGUGAAAUGCGUAGAUAUUAGGAGGAACACCGGUGGCGAAGGCGACUUUCUGGACAGAAACUGACGUUGAGGCACGAAAGUGUGGGGAGCAAACAAGAUUAGAUACCCUGGUAGUCCACACCGUA
rnacentral:rRNA from 1 species